rnacentral:rRNA from 1 species
AGAGUUUGAUCCUGGCUCAGGACGAACGCUGGCGGCGUGCUUAACACAUGCAAGUCGAACGAUGAAGCCCUUCGGGGUGGAUUAGUGGCGAACGGGUGAGUAACACGUGGGCAAUCUGCCCUUCACUCUGGGACAAGCCCUGGAAACGGGGUCUAAUACCGGAUAAUACUCCUGCCUGCAUGGGUGGGGGUUAAAAGCUCCGGCGGUGAAGGAUGAGCCCGCGGCCUAUCAGCUUGUUGGUGAGGUAGUGGCUCACCAAGGCGACGACGGGUAGCCGGCCUGAGAGGGCGACCGGCCACACUGGGACUGAGACACGGCCCAGACUCCUACGGGAGGCAGCAGUGGGGAAUAUUGCACAAUGGGCGAAAGCCUGAUGCAGCGACGCCGCGUGAGGGAUGACGGCCCUCGGGUUGUAAACCUCUUUCAGCAGGGAAGAAGCGAGAGUGACGGUACCUGCAGAAGAAGCGCCGGCUAACUACGUGCCAGCAGCCGCGGUAAUACGUAGGGCGCAAGCGUUGUCCGGAAUUAUUGGGCGUAAAGAGCUCGUAGGCGGCUUGUCACGUCGGGUGUGAAAGCCCGGGGCUUAACCCCGGGUCUGCAUUCGAUACGGGCUAGCUAGAGUGUGGUAGGGGAGAUCGGAAUUCCUGGUGUAGCGGUGAAAUGCGCAGAUAUCAGGAGGAACACCGGUGGCGAAGGCGGAUCUCUGGGCCAUUACUGACGCUGAGGAGCGAAAGCGUGGGGAGCGAACAGGAUUAGAUACCCUGGUAGUCCACGCCGUAAACGGUGGGAACUAGGUGUUGGCGACAUUCCACGUCGUCGGUGCCGCAGCUAACGCAUUAAGUUCCCCGCCUGGGGAGUACGGCCGCAAGGCUAAAACUCAAAGGAAUUGACGG